AUUGAACGCUGGCGGUAUGCCUUACACAUGCAAGUCGAACGGUAGAGGGGCAACCCUUGAGAGUGGCGAACGGGUGAGUAAUACAUCGGAACGUGCCCAGUCGUGGGGGAUAACGUAGCGAAAGCUACGCUAAUACCGCAUACGACCUGAGGGUGAAAGCGGGGGAUCUUCGGACCUCGCGCGAUUGGAGCGGCCGAUGGCAGAUUAGGUAGUUGGUGGGGUAAAGGCCUACCAAGCCUGCGAUCUGUAGCUGGUCUGAGAGGACGACCAGCCACACUGGGACUGAGACACGGCCCAGACUCCUACGGGAGGCAGCAGUGGGGAAUUUUGGACAAUGGGCGAAAGCCUGAUCCAGCCAUACCGCGUGCGGGGAGAAGGCCUUCGGGUUGUAAACCGCUUUUGUCAGGGAAGAAAUCUUCUGGGUUAAUACCUCGGGAGGAUGACGGUACCUGAAGAAUAAGCACCGGCUAACUACGUGCCAGCCGCCGCGGUAAAAC
rnacentral:rRNA from 1 species